UGUGUGGGAAGCUUGAUUCUAUUUAUCUGGGAAAAGAUUGACAAGGCAAAGGCAGAUGCUUUUGGGCCAGCAGUGGCUUCUGGUUUGAUUUGCGGGGAUGGGAUAUGGACUUUGCCUAGUGCGAUACUUGCUCUAGUAGGAGUAAAACCUCCCAUUUGCAUGAAGUUUCUGUCAAGGAGAACAAAUGCUAAGGUCGAUGCGUUCUUAGAGUCAUAAAGUCGAAGUUGAGAUCAACUUGAAUAGAAACUGUGAAGUAAAGCUGAAUUGCUUCCCAGACUAAGGUUAUGAAGUUUACAUGUGAAGUUCGACUCAAAAAUGCUGUAGAUAAUCAAUCACCUGCUAUUUCGUGGAGCCAACCACUAUUUUCGCUAUAAUCUUUUCUGGAGAAGAAAAUCAAAUGUCCAUUUACUUAUAUAUGUUUGUAGUUUUUUUCUAGUCUAGUUUGAAGAAGGUUGUAGAACAGAUACAUCAAGCAAUGUGAAAGGUGAAAAUUACAAUACCCUUUGUGAGCUGUUAUGAUCAGUUGCUAUAUUUGGUAUCAGGUUUGCUCAUUUUGCUAGCUAUGAUCAUAUCAGGUGGUCCGAUUAAUGUGGCAUUGGAAUGGCCUUCUAGUUAUUAGCAGUCUCACAAUAAAACCAUGCCAGACUUGGUUAUCCAACCCGAGAAAAAAAAAAAUUGGAAAAAAUAUCAGAUUCGUCGAGGAAGACGAUAAAAGCUUCAGCGAAUAAGAUACUUGUAACAAAUAUUUUACCUAGGUUUUUCCUAAGAAUAUGAAAAGAAGCUGAAAAAUAGACAAGCUUUUCCGUAGUCUCAGGGAGUGUUUGGGGCUGCGUUUGUAGUUGUAUUUUGGUAAAUUUAAUUAUUAUUUUUUUGUUAAAAUUGAGUGUGGUUUGUAUUUUUUUGGAUCGUUUUGAUGUGCUGAUAUCAAAAAUAAUUUUUAAAAAAUAAAAAAACAUCAUUGACAUGCUUUUCGACACGAAAAUCUAUUUGAAAAACAACUACUAUCACAUUGUCAAACAUACUCUGAGGGAGUGAAGUACAUAAAGAGGUUAUCAUACGUUCUUCCCCAUGCAAAUAUAUAUUCAUAGUUAAUUAUCAUAGAAUCCUCAACUCUCCAUCUUCAAUCUCAAUCUUUGUAAGGCAAGAUCCUGCAUUGUUUUUUUGAGUUAAGUUUAAAUUAAAUAACGUUAAAUUAUUUAUUUUAAACUUGUAUUUUUUAUUCGCUUAUUUUAUUUUUAUUUAACAAAUUUCUCUGCAAGAUUGCUUGAUUUGUGUUAUGAUGUUAGUAUUUAGUAAACAAGUAAUUAGAAAAAUAAUCUCUGAUUAAUUAUGUUGAGAAGUAAAAACCCAACGUAUAUAUAAUUAAUUGGACAUUGUUUAAAUCUUCCACGCACGUUACAUCCAAGUCAAUUUCUUUAUUUCUUAUACCAUUUUUUCCCACAAACUUUGGACACUGGACAUACACAGAUUUUUUAUUUUCCUUUUUUUUUUUUUUUGGAAAUGAGCCAAUUGACUAUUGACUUCUCGUCUUCUACAAAUUAGAAAUAGAAGCUUUUGGCAUGGGAUUAGUGACCAUUUGGUAACUUGAUUAAAACAUUCCUUUUAAAAAAAAAAAAAAUUAAGGAAUAGCUAAAUAGUGACAAGUUUUGGGUUUACUCUCCAAUCAAAGUGAAUGAAAGCUUAUUUAUUUGUUAAUUUCUAGAUUUAUAAAAUUAAUUAAUGUAUGCGUAAGAUGACUCGGACACCCGCAUUAAUAAAAAUAAUUCUUUUAAAAUUUUAAUUUUUAAAUUAUUUUAAAAACAAUUUAUAUCACAUUUCUAAUCUAGCUCUUCAAAGUACCUACAUACCCCUACACACACAUACACACAUAAUAUAUAUAUAUAGGCUCAGCUCAAACACAUGUGAUUUAGGAUCACUUUGUUGUUUUAAACUUUUAAAAAAUAUAAUAUUAAUUAUUUUUUAAAAUAUUUUUUAUUUAAAAAAAUUAUUUAAAUUAUAUUUUAAAAUCAUUUUAAAAACAAUUUCUACUAUAUUUUUAGUAUAGCUCUUCCAAGUAUCACAUAUAUAUAUACAUAUUACAAACUCAAUUCAAUCAAAUAUUAUUUAGGAUAAUUUGUUAUUUUAGAGAGUGUUUAAAAAUAUAGUACUUAUUAUUUUUCAAAGUAUUUUUUUUAAGAAAAUAUCAAAAUAAUAUUAGCAUAUUAAAAUAAUUAAAAAACAUUAAAUAAAAUUAAUUUAAGACUUAAAAAAACAGACAUGCAACGACCCGUUUUAACUCCUCAUGUUCAUCGUCUUCAAUUCGCCUGUAAUGUGUUGAGCAAUAGUCACAACUCACAACCACUUAUUAAACAAGGUAAUGAAGAAUCAUUAUGAUUGUGAAAGAGACGACACCAAGGUAUAAGUGGUGUGUAAGGAUGCCUUGGGUAAGAAACGUGCUAUGUUCAUUCCCAAUCCAAUGGCAACGGCUAUACCUUUCUAUAUUGGCUCAUACUUUGCCAUCGACAUGUGCGUGGGAAGCUUGAUUCUAUUUAUCUGGGAAAAGAUUGACAAGGCAAAGGCAGAUGCUUUUGGGCCAGCAGUGGCUUCUGGUUUGAUUUGCGGGGACGGGAUAUGGACUUUGCCUAGUUCGAUACUUGCUCUAGCAGGAGUAAGACCUCCCAUUUGCUUGAAAUUUUUGUCAAGGAGAACAAAUGCUAAGGUCGAUGCAUUCUUAGGGUCAUAAAUUUGAAGUUCAGAUCAACUUCAAUAGAAACUGUGAGUUAGAGCUGAAUUGCUUCCCAGACUAAGGUUAUGAAGUUUACAUAUGAAGUUCGACUAAAAAAUGCUGUAGAUAAUCACCUGCUAUUUCGUGGUGCCCAGUGGCGGAGCCACGUGGGGACAAAAGGGGGCAAUUGCCCCCUCAACUUUUUUUUUUUUUUAAUUUAUAUGUAGUUGAAAGUGUUAGCUGAUCAGCACCAGCUUACCAAAAUGAAAAUGAAAACUGAAACAGGAGAUACCAAAAUUUAUAUUUAGGGAAUUUACUGCAGGGAAGGAAAAAGGAAACAUGCAUUGUUUAUAAUUGUAGGCUUAUAAUAUAAUAUAGUAUAUAUAAACAGCUUAUUGCACAAUUUUUUUUUCUCCUUUUGUUUCCAUAUUAAAUUGAUGGUACCAGCUUUAAAAUAUGGAAUUCCUAGCUAUCAAAGAGUAUUUUUUGUUCCCUGCUUUUGCCGCGUUGUUCUUUUCUUGAGUUGCUCUGCCGCUUUGUUCUUUUCAUGAGCUGUUGUUCUUUGUCUCUCUCACAUGCAAAUUUCUCAUCAAGUAUAGGUAAUCAAUUAAUCUUUUUUGCCUUUUGCUUUAUAUUUUAGGUAAAUUUUCUUUAUUUAUUUCAUUGUUUAAUUUUAUUUUUAUUUUUUUAUAAUUAGUUAUUAAAAAUAGUAGGGUUUAUGAUAAUUUAUGGGUUUUGAUAUAAAUAUGUUCAAAAUAAAUGUUUAAAUCUACUAAUUUAAUCAAUUAAAUAUUUCUUUUCUUAUUAUAAAAGAAUAAAUUAAUAUUCAUGCAAAACCACUAUUUUUGACAUCUCUUGCAUUGGCAGAGUAUUUUAUUGAAAUUUAAUAUUUUCAUAUGACUUGUUUGUAAGUAAAAUAUCAAGUAGAAAGCAUGUUUUUCAAGAAUUGUUUCUCUUACACAUACACUAGGCAUUGCUCCUCAAUUAAAUAUCUAGAAAUAAUUAAGUAUAAUUUAAUCAACAAACUUAUUAUAUGUAUAUAGAUAUGAAUUGAAAUAGGUUUUGAUUUUGAUGAAUUGAUGUGUAUUUUUCUAUGAAUUUCAUAUGAAAGAUUUAGAAUUAUUGUGUAACUCAACUGAUUUUUAUUUAACAGUGAAUUAUUAUAUAGUUGUGUUAAUUAUUAUGUAGACACUAAUGAUGAUAAAAAAAUUCCAGCAGGUUCAUAUUAAAUUAACAUGUCACUAGACAAGUAUUUCAAGCAUAAAUCCCUUGAGGAUGAAGAAUUAGUAUAUAUGCUUUGAAUUGAUUUCUAAUAGAUAUCUAUAUAAUUUAGUAUUUAUUAAUAAUUUGCCCUCUCAUUGAAAAAACUCUGGCUCCGCCACUGGUGGUGCCAACAACUAUUUUCUUUGAAAUCUUUUCUGGAGAAGAAAAUCAAAUGUCCAUUUACUUAUACAUGCUUGUUAGUCAAUCCUUGAAAAUAUGCUUGUAGUUUUUUUCUUGUCUAGUUUGAAGAAGAUAAUGGAACAGAUGAAUCAAACAAUGUGCAAACGGAAAAUCACUGUACCCUCUGUGAACUUUAAACAUAAUAUCAAAAGUGAAUGUGCAAAUAUUACAGGUUGCAGGCAUGUUUAUUUUGAACAUAUUGCAAUUAUCGUUGUUGAUUUCUUCUUCCUUAUUCGUAUCCGACCUUCCAGAAUCACACCCAAGACCGCUGUUGUUAUCCUGGGUUGCUGCUUUACUGCCUUCAAUUCCUCAGCUGUUGUUUUGCUGUUUGAUGUUAUCACAGCUUUUGCACCAGUAUGUAUUAUCUUUGGAUUUUACUCAAUCUGGUAAGGUUAUGAUCAGUUGCUAUAUUUGGUAUCAGGUUUGGUCAUUUGUAUAUAAAUUAUAUUUGCUAUGCAUAUAAAGAUUCAAUUCCUAAUAUUUGUAUCAAGAUAUUAAUAACCAACAAGUAUGUCGACUUAUAAAUACACAAUUAGCUAGCUUCUUUUUCUUCUUUGAGAUAAGUGAAGAAACUUCAUUAAUAGCAUAACAUCGGCAAAUCAAAGUAAGUUAUUUACACGUUUUUUUUUUUUCUAGUUUGUUUUUGGUUUUUAAUUUUUUUAAUGAAAUCUUUAAUUUUCCUUCGAACUUCAAUAUCUAAUGUAAUUAAGCUCUUGAUAUGACCAAAUUAACUCUUAUAAAUUGCAAUUCAAUUCCUAAACUUUAAUUUUUUUCAAUUAAAAUCUAAAUUUCCUUAAAAAAUUAUUUUUUUCUUGUAAUUAAAACCUCUAUAAAUUCAAUUAAACCUUCAACUAAAUCUAAUUGAGUCCUUAAACAUCCAAUUUUAAAUUUCUCUUUCUCAAAUUGAAUUUUCUUUGCCGAUAAGGUCUUCAUCAAUUAAAAAUAUAUGGUAAAUUUCAAUCUUUGUAUUUUUUUUUUUAUCUUUCUCAACUUAGUUUUGGCUAUUUUUGGGGCGUUUUGAUAUACUUUUCCCACUUAUAUAUUUUUUUUCGUUUUCUUACAAUAAUUUUUAAAUUUUUUUGUAUUUUUUCUCUUUUUUUUCUUUUUGUGUGGGGACCCAAUAAAAUAGGUAAAAACAAAGAUAUUAAUAAACCAACAAUGCAUUAAAGUAUGUCGACUUCUCAAAAAAAUAAAAGUAAAAAACCCUUAUAAAUACACAAUUAGCUAGUUUUUUUUCUUUUAGAUAAAUGAAGAAACUUUAUUAAUAGCAUAACAUUGGCAAAUCAAAGCUAGCAAGGUGAAGAAUUAAUGGGUACAAAUGCCAAAAAGCAUGGGAAAAGAAAACAUGGCAAUAGUAAGUAACCUAAACCAACGAAGGACACGUAAAUAAUUACCAUGGAUAAAUUAAGUAGCUAUGCCUUCAAACUAAUAGAAGGAUAAACGAUUACUCACUGACGUAGCGGAAGCUUCUGUGGAAAUAGGUUGCUACCUGUUUCCGGGAACAAAGUGUUCGAAUCCACGAACCAAGAAAGUUUCACUCGAAUCUACGAGUUUAGCACUUAUAAUUCUCAAAGAGAAAGUUUUGUAUUAAAUUCAAAAGUGCCUUACAAUAAAAAGUGGCAGCCUUUAUAUAGGCUGCAAGUUUUAAUUCGACUAGGACUAUAAUUGUUUAGGAAAGAAAUAACUGGAAUAAAGAAAACAAAUACUAUAGCUAGGAAAGUAAAUAAUUCCUGAUGUUACGACAUUAAUGAGGACUCCUAACUAAGGUGGUAAUCUGCUAGAAGAAUACUCCAAUGAUAACUGCAAUUCCUGAUUUCUCUGCAUUUAUAUUAUGCCCUGCAAUCUGCUGUCUCCUGCGAUAUGCUCUUCCUCUCCUUUUAUAGACUGUUCUACAUCAGUCUCCCUUGCAUAAAAAGAACUCGACCCCGAGUGAGGUAAAUGAGAAGGUGCCAUAUCCGGAGGAUGAUACUCGUACAAAUCUGCCACGUUGAAAGUAGGGGAAAUGGCCAUUUCUGCUGGAAGGUUGACAACAUAGGCGUUGUCAUUAAUCUUCUGAAGGAUCUGGAAAGGUCCAUACUUCUUGUCCUGCAGCUUGUUGUAUCUUCCUACAGGUAGGCGUCCUUUGCGCAAAUAGACCAUCACAAGGUCUCCUUCUUGAAAGGUUUGGACCCUCCGUUUUUUAUCUGCUGCAGCUUUGUACUUGGCAUUAGAAGCCUCUAAGUUUUGUCGCACUUCUUCUUGAAUGGACUUUAUACGGUCUGCCAUAUGUUCUGCUGCAAUGCUUAAACCUGGAAGUUUUGGUAGAGGAACUAAGUCCAACGCAUGGCGUGGUGGAGAACAAUAAACAAUCUGAAAGGGUGUUUUUCCAGUGGACCGGUUGAGCAUACUGUUAUAAGCAAACUCAGCUUGUGCCAACAUAACAUCCCAUUGUUUUGGUUUUGUUCCAGAGAGGCAGCGAAUCAGAUUCCCAAGAGUGCGGUUUACUACCUCUGUCUGGCCAUCAGACUGAGGAUGGCUGGUACUGCUAAAAUUUAGAGACGUGUCAAACCGUCGCCAUAACGUUCGCCAAAAAUGACUCAAGAACUUUGUGUCUCUGUCUGAAGUGAUGGACUUGGGAACCCCAUGCAGACGCACCACCUCCUUGAAAAAUAAAUUUGCUACGUGCACGGCAUCGGCAGUCUUCUUACAAGCAAUAAAAUGAGCCAUCUUGGAAUACCUGUCGACCACCACAAACACUGAAUCAUAUCCGCGUUGGGUUCGCGGUAGGCCUAAGAUAAAAUCCAUCGAAAGAUCCUCCCAAGGUGCUGCUGGGAUAGGCAAUGGCAUAUACAAACCGGUAUUUUGGGACUGUCCCUUAGCAGCCUGACAUAUGGGACACCGUUUAACAUAGUUGCCGAUGUCUCUUUUUAAUUGGGGCCAAUAAUAUCUCUCUUCAGCAAGGGCUAUGGUUUUGUCACGCCCCAAGUGUCCCCCCAAACCUCCACUGUGCAAGUCAUGAAUUAUUUGAGCUCGUAGUGAGCUCCUGGGUAUGCAUAAUCGUUACCAUGGAAUAAGUAGUCUUCCUGGAUAUGCAGGUUCUCUACAGGAAGCCCGGCUUGGCACUUUGCCCAACUAGCUUGAAAAUCUUCAUCUCCAGCGUACAGUUCUUUGAGGCAAUCAAACCCAAUGACUUCAUUUUGGAGAGUGACCAGUAGCAAUGUCCUUCGGCUGAGAGCAUCAGCUGCUCGGUUUAGUCGUCCAGCCUUAUGUUGCAGUGUGAAUGUGAAGCGUUGAAUGAAGGAAAUCCAACGGGCAUGCAUUCUGUUAACACUAUUCUGACUGUGAAGAAACCUUAGUGCCUGAUGGUCGCUGAAUAAAACAAAGUCGCGGGCUACUAGGUAGUGCUCCCAAACUUUUAAGGCUCGAAAGACAGCAUAUAAUUCCAGCUCAUAGGUGGACCACUUCUAGCGAGCUUCACUGAGUUUUUCACUGUAGAAAGCGACAGGUUGCCUUCUUGAGACAACACACCAAUACCCACGAUGGAGGCAUCACACUCUACUUGAAAUAAUUUAUCAAAAUUUGGGAGUGCCAGUGCUGGGGCCGAUGAAAGUUUUUCUUUGAUAAGUUUGAAGCUCUGCUCUGCUGCGUCUCCCAAUAGAAUUUCCCUUCUUCAUGCACUCAGUAAUGGGUGCGACUAUUCGGCUAAAAUCUCUAACAAAUCGUCUGUAAAACGUUGCUAGUCCAUGAAAACUACGGACCUCGCCUACUGUUCGCGGAGUCGGCCAAUCACGAAUGGCGCCAAUCUUUUCUUCAUCCACUUUAAUUCCGUCAGCACUUAUUAUAAACCUCAAGAAUAGCAAGCUACUGGUCAUAAAACUGCACUUUUUCAAAUUAACGUACAACUUAUUUUGUUGCAGAAUUUUGAGUACUUCUCUCAAAUGCUCAACAUGGUCAGCUUGGGUUUGGCUGUAGAUUAAUAUAUCAUCGAAGUAUACCACCACAAAUUUUCCCGUGAUCGGCUUCAAUACCUGGUUCAUAAACCGCAUGAAAGUACUGGGUGCAUUGGUUAACCCGAAUGGCAUUACUAGCCACUCAUAUAAGCCCUCCUUUGUUUUAAAAGCAGUCUUCCACUCGUCUCCUGGUCUGAUCCGAAUCUGAUGGUACCCGCUUCGCAAAUCGAGUUUUGAAAAGACCUUGGACCCGGACAACAUGUCCAACAUAUCUUCUAAACGAGGGAUAGGGAAUCUGUAUUUAAUUGUGAUCUUGUUGAUUGCUCUGCUGUCGAUACACAUGCGCCAACUACCAUCCUUCUUUGGCACUAACAAAGCUGGUACUGCACAAGGGCUCAUGCUCUCCUGCACUAAGCCCUUCUCGAUAGUUCUUCUACCUGUGCUUGCAGAGUCUGACUUUCUUUAGGAUUCAUCCGGUAGUGGGGACGAUUUGGCAAACUCGCUCCUGGCGUGAAAUCGAUCUGAUGUUGUAUGUCUCGUACAGGAGGUAAUCCAUUAGGUAGGUCUAACGGCAUCACCUCCUGAAAUUCCUCCAGCAAUGGUAGUAGUGUGGGUGGAAUGUCAACAGAAUCCCUGCCAACUUCUCCUCUUAAUACUACAAAAAAAUCUCUCUGGCCGCCUUAGUCUCCUCCAUGAAUUUGCCCCCAUCCACUAGCAAUACUGGCUUUCCUUGUGGCUUCGGUUUGAUGCUGGAAAAAUCUUCUUUGAUAGGACCAGAACGACCUUCAGGCCCCCCUUUACGAAGACGUAAACAUUGUCACGACCCCUGUAAGUGGCAUCUACAUCAUACUGCCAGGGACGUCCAAGUAUUACAUGGCAAGCAUCCAUUUCCACUACGUCACAUGUAACCUCAUCUGCAUAAUUCUUCCCAAUUGAGAAUUUAAUGUGGCAGACUUCAGUCACUUUGACUUCAGCGCCACGUUUGAUCCAGCCUAUUUUAUACGGUGCAGGAUGCUUCCUAGUUUGCAAUCCCAGUUUAGUAACCAUUGCUUUUGACACUAUAUUCUCGCUACUGCCACUGUCAAUGAUAAUAUCACAGACCCUUUUGUUCACAGUGCACCUAGUUCUGAAUAUAUUAUGCCGCUGGGAGGGUUCUUCUCGUUUUGGUGUCAACAGUAGUCGUUGAACUACAAGAGACCGUGACAAUAGCUCUCCCUCGUCACCCCCUGUUACUUCUUCCUCCUCAUACGUAUAGGCUGCUCCGUUUUCAUCUUUCUCAGUGUCGAAGGGGUACUCUUCUUCUGGCUCUAUUAGGUGCACAUUACUCCUUCUUGGGCACUGGUUGGAACGGUGUCCUGGCUGUCCACAUCUAUAACAUUUAUCCGAACUGGGACGGGCAUAAGGAUUCCUGGGCGUUACCUCGGGUGGAAUGGUGUUAGCAGACUUUGUUGGUGCUCCACUGCUGCUUGUUCCUCGUACAAUGUUAGAGAAGGAGUGUUGAGUUGUUGAAGUCAGUGGGGUCAUUGGAGUCUUCCCUUUAUUGCUGGUUGCUCUAUUAUGAUCGAAUGGAUUCCUGGCCCCACCCAUUGCUUUUGAUUUGUCUAAUUGGGUCUCUGCUUUGAUAGCCAGUGCCACGGCUUCUGUUAGGGUGUAAAUUGUUUGCAUUGCCACACGAUCCUGUAUGGCCCAACGCAGACCUCCCACAAACCUGGCAACUUGUUGUGCCUCUGUUUCCAGCAGGUUAUUUCGUGAUGAUAGCCUAUGAAAUUCUUCUAGGAAAGCUUCCACGGUUCUAGUUCCUUGCCUACAUUCCUGAUAUUGUUUAAACAAAAUUUGCUCGUAGUCUGGUGGUAGAUAACGAGAACGUAACAAUCGUUUCAUUUUAUUCCAUGUUUGAACCAUCCCCUUCCCUUGUCGCAGUCGGGUGCUUUGUAGUUGCUCCCACCAGGCAGAAGCUCCCCCCAAGAGUCUAUAUGCGACUAACUUCACCUUUUUAUCUUCAGGAAUGUCCAUGUAAUCGAAGAACCUCUCAACUAGUACCAGCCAAUCAAGGAACCCUUCAAUCUGCAGUUGUCCGUUAAAACUGGGUAGAUCCAUCUUCAUUCGAAACAUCUGUCGGUCUAGUUCCCUUUGAUACCCUCUCCGGUUUCCCCGGAGUAUAGCUUCAGCUUCUUCCUCAUCCUCACUUAGGUUGUCCUCAUAGAUUGGUUGCCUUCGUAGGAUUCCUGGAGGGCGUUCACUAGUUGCAGCCCUUUCUCGGUGAUGUUGACGAACUGGAGAGUUGUUGAUCCCCUGAUUAUUCCCUGUUGUCAGCCUAGCAAGGGCUGUUUGGAUAUCACGUAGGGUUUGUUGUGUCUCAUGCUGGAAAAUUCUGAAUUCAGCUCCUGUAACCAAAUUAUCCUCGCGGUCACCGCCGCCAAGGUUUUCGCUUUCGUUGCGUAGGUUUGCCAUCUGACAGGAUUAUGCCUGCUCUGAUACCAACUGACGUAGCGGAAGCUUCUGUGGAAAUAGGUUGCUACCUGUUUCCGGGAACAAAGUGUUCGAAUCCACGAACCAAGAAAGUUUCACUCGAAUCCACGAGUUUAGCACUUAUAAUUCUCAAAGAGAAAGUUUUGUAUUAAAUUCAAAAAUGCCUUACAAUAAAACGUGGCAGCCUUUAUAUAGGCUGCAAGUUUUAAUUCGACUAGGACUAUAAUUGUUUAGGAAAGAAAUAACUGGAAUAAAGAAAACAAAUACUACAGCUAGGAAAGUAAAUAAUUCCUGAUGUUACGACAUUAAUGAGGACUCCUAACUAAGGUGGUAAUCUGCUAGAAGAAUACUCCAAUGAUAACUGCAAUUCCUGAUUUCUCUGCAUUUAUAUUAUGCCCUGCAAUCUGCUGUCUCCUGCGAUAUGCUCUUCCUCUCCUUUUAUAGACUGUUCUACAUCACUCACUCAUCAUACGAUUAGGUCAAGUCACCUCUCCUAACUCCUCCCCCCAUCAAACUUCGUUGCUGCAGGUUCACCGAUUUUGCAAGUACCAUCUUUGGGGUCAUAUUUGCAUGGAGCCCUAGGAGCAGUUAGGUAAGAACAUGAUAACAAAAUAAUGGUAACAAGGAGUAUUAUUGUCAAGUAUCGAGUCUUUCCUUGAGACCCCAUUUUUUACACGAAAGAAACCUGAGAUUUUUAGGGAAUCAAAUGUAUGUGUAGAGAGCGAGCUAGUCUGCGAGAUGGGUGAUUGUAGAGAUGGAGAGGGUUAGCUAGCUAAUAUAUGAGACACGAUAUGUUGAAUUGGAAAAGUAUUCAGCAUUUAAAUUGAUUUCAAAAACUAUUCCAAUAUGUUGAAUUGGAAAACUAUACUUUCCUCGAAAUUGUUUCUUAUUAUUUUCUUCGAAGCAGUUGUGACUUGUGACAUAGGUUGAAAUUAACAUUAAACGGGAGUAAUGUGGAUCAUGUCCAGGUUGUUUUAGUAGUCAAAUAAAUAAAAUUUCUAUGAUAUUUGUGUUUUUAAUCUUCUGGCGUGGCCCUUUAGAAACAAACAGUCAAAACCUGUUUAAGUGCCUGUUUUGUUCAAGCAACUUGUACUGUAAAUAAAUGUUAUGCAAAAACUAAGCACUCUCAACUUUUACUUGAUCUUUUUUUUUUUUCUGCGGUAUGAUGGGAUUGAAGAUUACACAAUAUUGCCCUACUCUAAUAUAUAUAUUUAUCUAGUAAUGCAAAAAUAAACAUUGAAAUAAGCUCUUCAGUUGAUUUUAUAAACUGCAAAUUUGAGGUCUUGGGCUCUUCGCAGCCGAGAAAAAGUCAUUCAUGGCUGAGGUAAAAAUAAUUUCUUCUUCUUUUGAUUUUUUUAUGAAUGAAAGAUUAUAUUGGAAAGAAAAAAACAGGAAACAAGCCAUACUAUACAAAUUAACUGAACUUCCACCAGCAACAAAAUUCACUAAAAAAAGAUUGUUUUGACAUUAUUAAAGAGUAACGGUGACGAAACAUAUAUUCCUCUUAUCUCAAGCCCUUAACAUUUACUUCUAACAUUAUUAAAGAGUAAUGUCAUGAUUUGAAGGAGCCAAAUUAUUCAGCGCGUAGACAUUAAUUUUCCCAAUGAGAAAAUAUUAUUGUCUUAUCAACUUUAAAUAUUGCAUGCAUAUGCAAGUGGUUGAUGUAAAAUAAGUGCUGGAAAUUUGAUACAUGAAGGAUAUGGUCACAGAGUCGUUCUUCCAGCGACCUAGAAAAAUAUUUCCAAAAUCCAUAUACCUGAGAAACUAUCGUAAAAUAUAAGACAUCAAAACAGUACAAAAGAUCCUGAGUAAAAAUUGACAAAAGAUAAUUAAAAGACUGAUUGGAUUGAAAAUUAAAAAAGCAUGGCGAAAAUAAGAAGGUGGAAAAAUACUUUUGAAAUAAUAAAAAAGCAUUAAUGGAAGAGAGGUUUGAUUUAUUCGUUGUGGAAUUUAAGAGUCGGUCUUGACUUGGAAAAUGAAUGAUGAUUCGGAUACAACAUGAACACGCGUGUCUUGACUUUGAAAAUGAAUGGUUAUUACUUGUGAGCACGCAAAACUGUGACUUUUUCGUCCAUUUGCCGAGUCCAAUGAAUUAAAAUAACAAAUGAGUAAAAUGAUCGGAUCCUUAGUUACUAUUUGUUUGCUGGAAAAUAGUAUUUUUUUUUUUUAAAUGAAUUUUAAAAAAGUAUUUUCGAUGUUUGAUAGUGUAAUAAAAAAUAAGUUGGAAAACACUUUCCUGUUUGGUUAUAUCAUUUAAAAUGAGCUGGAAAAUAUCUUAUUAAUAUUUUAUUUUUCUUAAGUUUAUUAAAAUAAUGAGGAACAAAUCUUACAAAUUAAAAAGUUGAAUGGGAAUGAAAUUGAAAAAAUAAUAUAAUUUCAUAAAUUAUCUUAAAUAAAAUAAAUAAUAAUCAAAAUAAUAGAGAUCAAAUCUAAAAAAUUAAAAAAUUAAAAAUGAAAGAUGAAGAAAUUAAAAUAAUAAUAAUCAACAUUUCAUAAAUUAUUUCAAAUAAAAUAAGUAACAAUCAAAAGAAUGAGGACCAAAUUUGAUAGAUAAAAAAUUUCAAUAAAAAAAUGAUAAGGAAAAAGCAAAUAGCAAUUAUAAAAAUAAGGACCAAAGUUAAUAUAAAAAUAAAAUUUUAAGAGAUGAAAUUGAAAAAUAAAUAUUCAAAACAAAAUAUAUAUAGCAAUCAAAAUUUGAUCGAAAGUGUUUUCCUUUGAUCGAAAAGUGUUUUCCGUUGACCCACUUUCCUAAUGACAAACAAACACAGAAAAGUUUGGAAAAUGAUUUUCCGGAAACUACUUUUCGGGAAACAAACAUGGCCUUAGUGUCGCACAUGAAACAUGUUGCGACGGGCAAUCUCUUAGUAUCUAGAAAUCCAAAAAUAAAAAGGAUAAGAAAUUCUUGUUUUUUAUAUGUUUUUCUAAUAUUUUUAAAAAAUUUAGGUAUUUUAAUAUCAAAUUUGUAUCUUUACAGUAUAAAAAUAAAACCAAUAUCAAUCAAAAUUGGUAUAAAAAUAUGAGAGAAAAUCACAAAUUAUUUUAAAGGAUUUUUAGAAUUUUUUGUUUUUAUUUUCAAAUAAUAUUAUAUUAUAUUAUAAUAUUUUGAGAUGCACUCAACCCAAUUAUAUAGGCAGAGAACAUCUUAUCUGAGAUGAGAUUAGCCCAAAAUAAAUUGGGUCAAAGUCGGCCAAAAAGAGUUGGGCCAACACCAGCCUAAAAUAGAGGUUGGGUUGAUGUUGGCCCAACAAAACUUCUUUUCUAUUUAUGGGAUUGGACCGAACUUGACCCAACCAUUUUGGUCUGGAUCAGAACUAGUCCGACCUAGUAAACAAUGAAGAGAUUCUCCAAUGUUCUGCAAGUGAAUAGUAGAGAGUGAAUUGAAGAAUAGUAGAAUAGUAGAGGGUGACUGAAGGAGAAGAAGAAAAAGGAGAAGGAGGAGAGAUUGACCUGGCGGUGGCUUCACGGUGGUGCUAAUGAUGGUGACGAGGAAAGCAGGCGAUAGUGGGGAGAAAAAACAAUGGUUGCUGUUGUGGUUUUUUCUUCUCUGUACAGGGGCAUGAAAUUCCUCUUUCCUUUUUUUUUUAUCUUUUUUUGUUCUCUCUCAUUAUCUUCUCUCGUUCUUGUCUCUCUUGUUCUUUCUUUUUUUCUAUGUUUUUUUGUUUUUAUUUCUCCUUUUUUCUUCCUUUGUUCUCCCCUGUUUCUUUUUGUUUCUCUUCUGUUUUUUGCUCUCUUACCUCCCUUUUUCAUCUCUUUAUCUCUCUGUUUUUGUCUCUCGUCCCCUAGUAUUUAUAAGAGGGAAAGAGAGGAGAGAGAGCUAUUACACAUGUCCAGUCAUGGUGUAGGGGUAUGGUGGUUGGGGCAGUCUGUGCAGCCAUCCCAAAGCCAACCGCAGGGCUUGUCCCCUCUACCUCUUUCAUCAUGUUGAUAGGCCAUGAAGGGGUGUGGGUGGUGUCGUGGUUUUUGGGAAAAGGGGAGGGAGAGAGUGAGAGAUAGACGCUGCAAAUGAAUGGAAGAAAAACCUUCUUCCCCUGCCUUUAUGCGUUUGGGGAAGAAGAAGAUACACAGUGCUGUUUAACACAACACCGUUUUAAGCUUCGCUUUUUUAUGUUUGAACAGUGAAUGAAAUGGGGUCAAUUCAUUUAAAUUAAAAUAGCGCCCAAAAAAUGUUAAUUUUUAAAUCAAUCUUUAAUUAUUUUUUUUUAUCCAAUCAAGUCCUCAAUUGCAAUUUUGAUUUUAAGAAUAAAUUUAAUUUCAUCCCUAUCAAAUUCAAAUGCCAGCCCUAAUGUUGGAUGUCUUUUUCACUUUAGUCCUUAGUUUUGAAUUUAUGCAUUUUGACCCUUAAUUGAUCAACAAACUUUCAAUUUUUUCAAUUUAGCCCCUGAUUUGACCAAAUUAACUCUUAAAAAUUAUAAUUUAACCCCAUACUUUAAUUUUUUUUCCAAUUAAAGUCAAAAUUGACUUAAAAAUGAAUUCUUCUUGCAAUCAAACCCUUUACAAACCCAAUUAAUCUUUCAACAAAAUCUAAUUGAGUCCUUAAACAUCUAAUUUUGGAUUUUUCUUCAUCAAAUUGAAUUUUCUUUUUCAAUAUAGCAUUUAACAAUAAAAAAUAUAUUGUAAAAUUUCAAUCUUUGUAUUUUUGAACUUUCUCAACCAAUCUUUAGCCAUUUUCUGGGCGCCCUUAUAUCUUCUUCUCACUACUAUCUAUAUUUUGGUUUUCUUCUAAUAUAUAUAUUUUUUAUUUUUCUCUCUUUUUAUGUGGGAACCCAAAAAUAAAUAAUAACAAGUAGUUUGUAGUGUAUAUAGAUAAAUGCUAGAGUAAAAUGGAAUUGUUGUAACCCAUUUUUGGGUCCCCAUGAAAAAUAAAAUAAAUAGCCAAAAGAGGUUAGAAAAAUAACAGGAGGCAGAAACGCUCGGAAAAUAGUCAGAAAAUUGGUCAAGGAAUUUAAAAAUACAAGGAUUGAAUUUUUGACAGUAUAUUCUUGGAGGAUGAAAGCCCUAUUGAGAAGGAAAAUUUGAAUUUUGAGGAGAAAAGCCCAAAUUUGGAUUUUAUUGGACUUAAUGGAUUUUUAUGGACUUAAUUGGAUUUUUAUUUGAAUUUAUAGAAGAUUUGAUUGCGAAAAAAAUUGAUUUUUUAAGUCAAUUUGGGCUUUAAUUGGAGAAAUUUAAGUUCUGGGGCCAAAAUAUAUUUUUUAGGAAUUUAUUGGGUCAAAUCAGGGGCUCAAUUGCAUAAAUAUUGAAGUUUAAGGGCCAAUUAGGGACUUAAUUGUGAAAAUCCGAAACCAGGGACCAAUUUGGAGAAGGCGCAAAGAUAGAGGGGGCUGUUUGGAAUUGUUUCAGGGGCUUAAUUGAAGAAAUUGGAAGUUUAUUGAUCAAUUAGGGGCUCAAUUGCAUAAAUCAGAGGCCAAGGACCAAAGUGAAAAAGGCGGCCAACAAGAAGGGCGGGGACCGAAUUUGGAGGACUGAUUUGAAGUUUGGCCAUUUAAAUGAAACGGCGCGUUUUAUUCAAAACGACGCCGUUUCAUAUACAAAAAAAAAAAAAAGGAAAGCAGAACGGUGUCGUUUUGAACGACACUGUUCAUCAUCUCCUUCCCCCCGUUUUAGCAGAACAGAAGACAAAAAUUUUGAAAAAAAACUCCCGCGUCUCUCUCUCUCGCCCCCACCACCACCAGAAAGAACCGACCAGCCAUGCGUGAUUGAAGGCGCACUAACCAUGGUCCCCCACCCGUGCUGCCCCUAUAAAUAAAGAAGAAAAACCGAAGAAAAGAAGGAGGAGAGACCCGAAGAGAGAAGGAGAGAGAACGACCCGAAGAGAGAGAGAAGAACAGAAACAAACCGAGAAGAAGGAAACCGAAACCAAAAAACCAAAACCAAACCGAGAACCGACAGCCACUGAGAAAAAAAAACGAAGGAGAAGGGAGGAAGAAGAAUUUUUCGCCACUGAAACAGCAGCAACGCCGCCCGGAGCCGCCGUCCACGAAGCCACGCCACCGUAGCCCCGCCAGCAAACCACCGUCUCCAGCCUCGCCAGGUAAGCUCUUCCCCCUGCAUUGUUUUUUUUUCUUCUCUUCGUCUUCUGUAAUUUUCGUCUCCUGCAUGCAGAAUUGUUCUGCAUGCAGGGGACGGGGGGGAAAUUAAUUCCCCCCGUAUGUUUUAUCUUCUGGGCCAGACCGGUUCUGGCCCAGAAACAUGUAUUGGGCCAGAAGGAUUCUGGCCCAACCCGGCGGUCUGGGCCGCGUCCGGCCCAGACCAAGUUGUUUUUUUUCCUGGGCCGAGAUCGGCCCAGUCACUGUGGGGCUGAGCCCGGCCCCUUAAUAAUUAAUAUAUAAUUAUAUUAUAAUAUUAUAUAUAUAUAUAUAUAUAUAUGUGUAUAUGUUAUAUAUAUAUAAAAUAUUUGUAAAAAAUCUAAAAAAAUCUAAAAAAAAUAUUGUUAUUUUCCUUUCAUGUAUAUAUAUUUUUAAGGGGGUUUGUAUUUUUUUUUAUAUACUGUGGAGGUAUAAAUUCAGUAUUUAAAAUAUCUGAUUUUCGUCGUAGCACCCGAAAUUUUCCAAAGAUAAUUUUUUUUUUUGCUUUCAAAAAUUUCUAAAAUUCCUAAAAAAUAUUGUGGAUUUUUCCGCAUUUUUUUUUUGACUUAAUAUUAGUUUGUAUUUUUAUUUUGUGGAGAUACAAAUUCAGUAUUAAAAAUACCUGAUUUCGUCAAAAAAAAAAUAUUGUUUUAAAAAAAAAAUAUUUUUCUUUCGUGUUGCAUACGGCCAAUACUCUAACAUGUUUUGAAUAUUCUUUUUUAUAAAACAAAUAUAUUGGAAGCUUCGAAAGUGUGUUUUCGCAUAGAUUUCUUAAACACAAAUUAUUUUCUUGCAUUUCUGGAUUUUACAACGUGUUUGUAAAAUUCCAAAGGGUAUUGGCCAAUAUUCAAAAAACUAUAAAAAUCUUAUUUUGGGAAAAGGAAUUUAUUUAUUAUUUACCGCUAAUGUUUGGAUAAAGAAAUCCUUAAAAGGAUGAAUAUCCAAAAUAUUAUCGGGAAUAAUAAAUCCGCACACAAUUCUUGAAAGAAGCCUUGAUUAUAAUCGAGGACAUUUCAAAAUUAAUUUAAUUUUUUUUUUUCUCCACGAUUUAUGAGUCGCAAACUUUUGAAAUACUAAGGGAAAAAUGAGCUUUCAAAGCACAUGGAAUCUCCUUAGAUUUCUAUCCAAAAUCAAUUGACGAGCCUAGAAAAUACCUACACCAUAGCAGUUAUAGAGCAAACCAAACACCAAGCAGCUUACCUUAGGUAGGGCGUACUAGGGGUGCUAAUACCUUCCCUUUACGCAACCAGUCCCUUGCCUUAGAAUCUCUGAAAGACCAGUUAGGGUUCCUAGUGACCAAAAUACUAGGUGGCGACUCCCAAAGAACCAAAUCAACAAAACAAAACAAAACGAAAGUCGCCAGUCGAAUGUCGCAAAACAAAUUUUAAAAUAAACCAAAUUUUAUUUGUUGAUUUUUUCGGGGGUGCGACAGGAAUGAUGGUAUCUAUCAUGUUAUGAUUUAUUUUCUAUUUUGUUAUCAAGAAUGAUUGAUAGGUUAGGGUGUGGGGGCAAUGCCUCCAUGAUACAGUAAAUGAGUAUUAUUAAAAAAACUAUAAUAUCUCUUAGGCAAUUAAACUUUUAGGCCGCAGUUAGACCCUUGAGCGGUUUAGAAUAUACUAUAAAUACACAUUAUGUAAUCCUAUUUGACAUAUAGUAAAAAUAAAAGCUCAUCACUCAUGCGGAUAUAAAAACAUUAUCAAACCACAUUAAAUCUUGUGUUCUUUCUAGUUUUUCUUCUUUUAUAAUAUUCAUCAAUAAUUGUUGUAGGUUUUUCACAAUAGAGGUCAUGUUUAAAGUAUAAGAAUGUGUGAAGGAACUACCAGUGAACUUUACAAGAACAAAAGGUGUAAUAUUUGAUAUAGAUCCUUCUUUAGCUUGCAUACACAAUUAAUUAGAAUUUGAAACUCUCGAGUCAUAGACAUUAUACUUAAGGAAUAUGCUUUAUAAAGCUAUAUUCAAAGUAUCUAUGUUUUUGAAAUUGAAGAGUUCAGUUUCUAACACUUAAAUCAAGAACAAUUUUUUUUAUAAGUAGAGAGGACUAAAGUAGGGCACUAUAUUCAUUAUCCUUAGCAUAAUUUGUUUUAUUUCUUUCAUUAUAAGAUUUUUUAGAUUUUAAGGAGUUUCGAAUGAGUCCAAUGGGCAAUCUAAUAAAAAUGGGUAUAACUUAUGUUCCGACUAUUGGGUUGAAUUGAAAUUUUCCUUAAAUGAUUAGUAAGACAACUUCAUUUGAAUUCAUGUACAUGCUAAAUUCAGUCUAAAAGUUACAGCUUAAUAUUGUUUUUAUUUUCCUUAUUGUUUUUGGAUUAUUCUUACUAUUUAGAUUAGGAUUUAAAAUUUAAUUAGGAUUUUACUAAUAAGCAUAUAUAAUUUUUUUUGUAUUUAAACUUUCUUGUAGGCUAUUUUUUAGGGAAGAAUUUAUUAUAUAAAGACUUUUAUAAAUAUAUUAAUUUUUUCUCUGCAACCUUUUCUAAGAGUUGUAACAUUAAGUUGUGAGCCCCCCAGUUUCUUUCUCUACAAUUUAAAACUGUCAAAUUUUACGGUUUGAGGAUCCUUAACACUAUACACCAUGUCAAUUGGUAUUAUAGAAGUCUACGGGAGGAGUCAAGUAGUAAAACGCUUUUUUUUAUUUUUAAUAUUCCACAAGAAUAAAAUCAUUAAUUAUGGAUAAUCAAUUAUCUAUAUUAUAAAAUUAUUAAUAUUUGUUAAAUAAUCAUUUCAAUCUAAAAAUAUAAAAAUAGUUUUCUAUUAAUUUUUUAGCAGACUUCUUCAAGUAAAAAUUUACAUAUCUUAUGGAUAUGUAUCUUAUAUUUAAUUUUUAAUUAAAUUAGAGAGAAUAAGGGCUAUCACUAUCUUGCUAAUAAUUUUUAAUCUAAUUAAAAAGAACAAGAGUGAUACAAAAUCUGAUUUGACCCAAAAUGUAAAAUCCAUAUAUAUUUUUUUUAAUUCCAAUGAUAAAAUAGUUCAAUCUAUCUCGCGGACCUCUCUCGUAAGAGGGGAUGUGUAGCCAUAUGUUUUAAAGGUAUGGGGGAAAAAGCAUUUUUUGCGUUUAAUUUCCUCUCCUACUACUCCUAUUUCUAUGCAUAGGCAUUCUGGGAUGCCCCAAACCGAAAUACAAAUCAAAUAUACGUGUUGGGUAUCUGCAAAAUGUUUAAAGAUUCAAUUCCUAAAUAUUUGUAUGCAGAUAUUAAUAACCAACCAUGCAUUGAAGUAUAAACCCUUCAUUAAUAGCAUGACUUCUCAAAAGACUAAAAGUGAAAAAACCCUUAUAAAUACACAAUUAGCUAGCUUUUUUUUUCUUUUAGACAAGUGAAGAAACUUUAUUAAUAGCAUAACAUUGGCAAAUCAAAGCAAGGGGAAGAAUUAAUGGGUACAAAUGCCAAAAAGCAUGGGGAAAGAAAACAUGGCAAUAGCUAGGAAGUAACCUAAACUAACCAGCGAAGGAAGGAGGACACAUAAAUAAUGACCAUGGAUAAAUUAAGCCUUCUUGGCUAAUACAAGGAUAAACGAUUACUGAUCAUUCAUCAUACGAUGGGAGCUGCAGCUGGUUCACCGAUGCGGCACAUACCAUCUAUGGGGUCAUAUAUGCAUGGAGCUGCUGGCCUCGCUAUCACAGUAAGGUUAGAGCAUGAUAGCAAAAUAAUGGUAACGAUUAGGAGUAGUAUUAUUGUCAAGUAUCGAGCCUUUCCUCGAGACCCCAUUCUUGACACGAAAGAAAGCUGAGACUCUUAGGGAAUCAAAUGUAUGUCUUGGUACGUAUGUGUAGAGAGCGAGCUAGUCUGCGAGACGGAGAGGGUUUGCUAGCUAGCUGAUAUAGGGGACACAAUGUGUGGAAUUGGAAAAGGUAUACGUACAGCAUUUAAAUUUGACUUUAGAGUUUCUUAUUAUUUUCUUCAAUAGAGUUAUGAUGACUUGUGGCAUAGGUUAAUUUGAAAUCAACAUUCAAAGGGAGUAAUUGUGGAUCAUGUCUAGCUAGGUUGUUUAAGUAGUCAAAUAAAUCAUAUUUUUAUUAUAUUUUUAUUUUUAAUUUUCUGGUUUGGCCCUGGCUCUUCAGAAACAAACAAUUCGGAAAACUAGAGAAGGUGAAACAUAAUAUAAAUAUGGCAUAUUAAUUUGUCGGUCGAUUGACUUUUUUUUAUUUUGUUAAUUUUAAUUACAAUAUAUUUUUUAAUUUUCUUGAGUUCUUUAUUUCCUUGACUUCUUCUUCCUUUUACUAAUUAAGAAAAAUCAACAACAUCUGGUCAAACAAUCUAAAUUGGUCAACGAAUGAAUUUUAUAAUGGGUUUAUAUAUUGUAUGCUUACAACAAUAAAAAUAUCAUGAGUGAACAUAAUAAUAACAUUAAGACUAUUAUUUAAACUACUUUGAACAACAAAGGUUCAAAGGAACGGAGUCAAUUUUAGAAUGGGCUAGGUUGAUGUUGGCGGCUAGCUAGGGUUUUAGGAAUGAAGAAGAUGAGAUGAUUUUUUUAUCAUUAUCAUUAUCAUUAUUAUCAUUAUUAUUAUUUUUACAGGUUCCCUCUCUCUUUUCAUUUUUUGUAGCAACUACAUGCGGUCGAAAGUCACUGAUAAUUACAUUAAUUACUAGUUAUAACUGAUUUUGAUAGAUAUAACAACAUUUAGAGUAAAAUGUCAUUGCAAAUACAUAUUGUAUUAUAAUGAAAUUUCAAACAUUUACAUUCAUAAUUAAUUAUAUAUUUGCACAUGCAUUUAUUUAAUUUAAAGGCACGUAGUUAUAUUAAUUUUAUAAGUAAUUAUGAUAGGAUUUUGUUGAUAGUGGAUCUAAAAGCAUUUGUCUCAUGUGCUGUUAAAUCUUAAUAACAUUUGAAACAAAAGAUCACUUAAUUUAUAUCCAAUAUCAGUCAAUAUAUACUACAAUAAAAUAAAUGUUCCUAUAAAUAACAAUCAUAAAAUACCAUUAUAAAGUAUAGUUAGUAUGUAUUUCAAACAAAUGAAAUUAAAAGUAAACAUAGUAAAAGCAUGUAAUCAUCACCAAACCAUGAAAACUAUAUGUAUAUAUAAACAAAACAAGAAAGUUUCGUUCUGUUUUCCCUCAUUUAUACUUCAUUAUUUAUUAUCCACGGUUUUGAUUAUUAACAAACAAUCAAAACCCAUCAAAUCAAACUUUAUUGUAAACAAAAUUAAACCCAUUUCUUUUAGCAAAGUCUAAUUCAAAAAAGUUUGGUUCUUUUACCCCUCAUUUAUACUCUAAGAAGAUUUAAAAAAAAUUAUCACUAAGAUAGUGUGUGGUUACUAUUCUAUAACAAAAGAAAUAAAAAAAACAAUGAGAACAUAAACAUUUUUUAUUGAAAAGAUAUAGAUAAAAGACAUAAUAAUAAAUUUAUCUCUAAAAAAUUUUAAACUUAAUUUUUAUAUUUUCAAAAUAAAAUGUAUAUAGAAAACAUGUUUUUAUAGAUAAUAUUUAUUAUUUUUAUCUUUAAAAUAUUCAUGUAAAAAAAAAUAAUUUCAAAAUUAUCCAAAGCAUAUAAAGAUAAAAGUGAUUUUUAUUAUAGUUUUAAAAUCUGAUUUGACACUCGACUUGAAACAAGACCAGAUCUUGGAUCGCGAGGGUCAAACUAAGUUAUUCUAACUAUUUUUAAAGGAUCAAAACAAUUUGAUCAUUUUGACCAAAAAAGUUUUUGUUUGAAAAAAAAGUCAAUAUGUUUUUAGCCAAAAAAUUUUAUAUAUUUAGGUGGACUUGGGUUUUUUAUCAUAUUAGAUCAGAUUAAUCAUUCCUCUAUUUUUUUAAAAACCUAAACUGGUCUCAACCUCGAGUUAGCCCGCCAGGUCAAUCCAAAUUUUAUAACUAGAGUCAUUAUACCAUUAUUAAUUUCAACACUUAAUAUAAAUUACAAUAAAAAAAUAUAAUUAUGUAUUUAAAUAUAUAAGUUUGAUAAUAAUAUAUGUUAAGAGUAAAAUACUUUUUUUCAUAUAUUAUUUUAUCUCAUUCAUUCACCAUGAAUCAAAUAUUAUACAAAAAUAUUUUAUAUUUCAUUACCAAAUAUAAUUUUAUCUUCAUCUUUUCUGUUCUAUCUUCUCUUUUUUAUUAUCUCAAUAUUCUUGCGUUCCAUGACAAUAUCUAUCAAUGAUAAUGAUAAAGAGAGAAUAAGAGGAGGACUUGAGGCACCAUUUGUUUCUACAACCCAGUUGUGUUUUUUUUAAAACAAAUUAAAAACAAUUCUUGAAAUGUUUUUUUAUAUUUUUAAAAUAUUAAUGUCAAAACUAAAAUUUAAAAAAUAAUAAUAUUAUUUUAAUAUAUUUUUAAAUAAAAAAAAACUUUGAAAAUCAAACAAUUUUCGUAAUACCAAACAUUAGCUCCGUAAGAGAAUUGUCCAUGGGGAUUUCAUUGAUUUUCAUUGUAUCACAAUCUCCCUUGGCCACAUGUACGCACGCCAGAGGCUAACCUCUUUUGGAGAUUGAGUAACUUGAGUUACGCCCGUUCUAUUUAUUUUUACAUUUUGAAAAUAUUUUAAAAAAAAAUUAAAAUUUUUUAUUUUUUUAAUUUAAAUUAUUAUUUUUUAUAUAUUUUAAUAUAAUAAUAUCAAAAAUAAUUUUUAAAAAAUAAAAAAUAUUAUUUUAAUAUAUUUUUAAAUAAAAAUUAUUUUAAAAAACAACACCAACCAAAACAUACAUGUGCUCUGUCUUCGCAGCUGCUUCGGCUAAUAGCAAAGAAGUGAAAGGACGUCGGAGGGAGCUGAUGUAAGAAAUGGAUUUUAUUUUCAAUAGGCCUUAUGGUUUCAGCGUUUGGACUUUGGUGAUUUUUCAUGGGCCUCCAUUGACUAAAUUUGGGCUCUUCUCCAAUUAGACCAAUGGUUUGAAUAACUGAAUCUAGAACUAGCAGGCCUUGGGCCUUGGCCACCAUAAUUUGUUGCACCAAGCAUGUCCCCUCAUUAUAUCAUCAUCUUUUCUAUUAAUAUUUUAAAAAAAAAAUUAUUAAGUAUUAAAUAAGUUAUUCAUAUCUUAAUUUAUACAUUUAAAAAAAUAUAUAACAUUUUUUUUUUCAUAUUUGAUCUCGAAAUGAUAGUAUGAUAAGCAAUCCAUUAAACUAUCUUAUUAUAUUAAGUUAGUGUGUUUUUGAAAGUUUUAAAAUACACUUGAGGAUAAAUAUGCAAUGCAAUAUAUUAUGUCCUUGUCAUGGAUUGAAUCGCUCCAUCUUCUCUAUGUAGUGUGUGUAUAUAUUUAUAAUUGUGUGUGUAAUUCAUUCGCAUGAAUUAUAUAAAAAGGAUAGAAAAUCAUAUUGCGUUUUGCAUCAAUUACAAAUUUAAAAUUAUUUAAUUAGUUAAUAUUUACAUGAAUUCUAUUGAAAUCUUAGAUUAAAAAAAAAACUGCAAUUUAUUUAUUAUUCUUAAAUCUAUUUUUCUAAACUACAACUAGGAUGGAAAGGAGGAAGCUAGCUCAAGCAUAACUUCAAUUUGUCAUCACCCACAACACCCAAAAAAUCUGGACACGAAUAAAAAUCUUUUGUGACGACUUGACCACCUUAGCAGCUUUCUGAAAACCUAUGAGGCACUGAUUAAAGAUAAGAAGCAGCACUACUCUUGUUAAUUAUUAAUUAUACUCUUCCAGACAUCCUUGUCAAUGUCAUGCUAGUCAUCGUCUUGCUCCUUAAUUUCCUUUCUGGCUGACACGUGACUUGUAGACCAACGACUGUGUGAAAGCCAACUGUCUUUAAAUCAUUGGCUAAAUUUCUUCUGCAAAGGAGGAAGUCUGCUAAUUAAGGACAGGCACUUAAAUUGAUGCCACGUAUAAUUCAUCAAAAAUCUAUUCCAUGUAUACAUAUCAUCGCUGUGCUUUGCUUCCCAUAUCUCACCAUUGAAGACUGUACUAAGCAUUCCAAGCUUUUCUUGUUGAUAUCAUCAUUCAUGGAUAACAGCGGAAUAAAUGAAAUGAUGUAGAAAGAAUAAAUAAAAAAUGAAUGGCGUACUGUAUUAUACAAUUUCACUUUCAACACCACAUUAUAGUUUUCUACUUCAUGACAUAACGAUCCUAUACGAUGAGUUUGCGUUGUGAAAUGUCCAUUUGACAAACACGAGAUCAGGCGUGCGCGUGCGCGUGCGUGUGUUGUAGCAUGAGAUGUUUUUGGAUGGGUUUUCACACAUAGCAAGGUUUAUCAAUUUCAUUUCAUUCCGUUUGAAAUUGUCAAAAACAUGUUAUAUUAAUUUUAAAAAAAAAAUGAAAUAAUUUUUAUUUCAUUUUAAAUUUCAGUCCGUUUCAGAUUUUUCGAUUAAAUUUCAGCCUAAAUAUUCCUGUUUCAUUUCACAUGUUCAGUUCCAGACUCAAAAAGUCAUUGAAUCAAAUUGAACACAGUUCAAUUUAAUUAAUUAAACCACCCAAGUAUAAAAGGUUCUUUUUAAAAUAAUAUUGAAAAUUAUUAGUAUUAUUUUAAUUAACAAUGAUAUUAAUUUUUUAAAAUUAAAUUUAUCACUAAUAUAUAUGGUUUAUUUUCAUAUUGUUUUUUUCAUGUCUAUACUUUGUAGGAAUUUGAACAAAACAAGAAAUGUUUUAGAUUUCAUUAGCUUUGAUAAUAUUGACCUAGUUUUAUAUUUAAAAUAUUCGUGUUAAAAUAUUUUACUUUCAUAAUAUUUUGAUAUUUUAUUUAAGUUGAAUUACUGUAAGUUAAAGAUCUAUUUAAUCAUGACUAUUUAGAAAAUAUUUUAAAUUUUAAAAUUAUAUUUAUUUGAUAUUAUGUUUGUAUUAUAUAAUUUAUAAUUAAUUUAUCUUAAAUUUGAAUUAUAUUUGUUGAAUUAUAUAUAUAUAUAUAAACAAAACAACUCUGAAACUAAAAUAUUCUAAAAUUAAAAUAUUUUAUUUUAAUUAAAAAAAUAAAACAUCUAUUAAAAUAGAAUUGAUAACCUUGACACAUAGUGACCGGAUUUUCCAUGAUCCUUUAAUAAUUUCUUUAUUUCUCUAUAUAUAUUUAUUUCAAGCCACCCGAAGUGGGGAAGUCCACUUCCAUAUUCAAUAAAUUAAAGGAUAUUUUGAUGCUCCCAAGAAGAUUCCUGCUAUCCUAUUUCUCCUUGUACAAGACAAAGAGGGAUCUAUUCAUGAGGACAAUUGCUUGAAUCUUCAACCACAUGAAAGUCCAAACUUUACGAAUUAAUCCUAUUUCUAUCAAUAUAUUUAAGAAGAAUCAAAUCAAUAAUUAAAAGAAUAAUAUAUAGUUUUUUAAUACAUGAAAUCGAUACAAAGAGUGUAUCGAUUUCAAGAUCCAAUAAAUAAAGAUCAAAUCAAUAAUUAAUUCCUUCUUCUCUUUAAAUCUUCCACGCAUGUUACAUCCAAGUCAAUUUUUUUAUUUGUGUUAUCAUUUUUUUCCACAACAGCCUGGACAAUUAAUGGACCUACACAAAUGUUUUAUUUUCCAAAUAUCAAACGAAGACUCGAAUUUAUUCAGCAACUAACCAGCCCUGAUCACUCCUAUUCGAUCUUUAACUUGAAACUAAAUUCCUUCUCUUAAUUAGAUGAGUUUAAGUUGGAUAUUAAAAUCCUUGAUUUGUUAGUAUUUUUCUUCAAAUACAAAAAUAUUGUUAUAUAUUAUUCAGAACUUUUUUUUUAUAAACAAUAUUAAAGAUACAUCCCCCAUCUGAUCAAUAUGAUAUAUUUAUCUUAAAUUUUGAACUCGAAAAAAUCACUAAAUGAAGCAUAAAAUGAGUAUAAUUAUAGGGGGUUUGGAUUUGUCAAUAUUGUGCAAGAAUCCUAGCUAGCAGAUAUUAUUGAAAUUAAUUAAGUUGGGCACCUCAAUUUGCAAUCUGUAGGCUGUGAAGUCCGGAUUGCCGGCGGGACCAUCUCAUCUUCUUUCCCGCAUCCACAUGCUCUUAUCUCAUUCAAAAUCUGUGGAUAUAACAAGUCAAAAGAUACAUUUUAUUAAGAUCAUGCUUAGCCUACCCUUGGAUUGUCCAUCUCUCUCUCUCUCUCUCUUUGUUAUUUAGUAAUAUUAUCAAUAUUUUUUCUUGAUACUAAUUAAAACAUAGUUUUUAGCUAAAUAUGAAAGAAACCAAGAAAAAAAAAAGUUCAAAGGGUUUACGUUUCACUUUUAACUGCUCAUCUCCAUUUGGUCUGAUUGAUCUAACUCAAGAUUUAUGUCUAUAGAAAUUAAUUAAAAUAACAGUUUUUAAAAAUAUUUUUUUAAUUUAAAAAUAUAUAAUUUUUUUAAAGUAGAACCAGGUAUGCUUCGGAGCAUAGUUUUGAAAUCUGGCCCAAUAAGUUAACCCGGGAUUCAGCCAAUCCAGAACUGAAACCGGACCGAGUUGAAAAAAAAACAGAGAAAGGCAAAACUUGAUAUGACCUAGCAAGACCUGUUAAUUUUUGUUUUUUAUUUUUUUAUUUUUUUACUAAAAUAAUUUUAUUUUAAUUUUUUUAAAAAAAAAUUAACCUAACUGACCGAAACCUAAAACUCAAGUUUUAAACUAGCCAAGUCAAGAAGACUUGAACCGGAACAAGUUUAAAUAUACUGCUUUGACAAGUUGACUUCCUACCCACCGUGAAACAAGUUUAAGAAGUAAUGUCUUUAAUUGUCACAACUCUUUCUCACAGUCAUCAUCUCCCAUUGCUUUCCCACUUCUUUAGCAACGCGUCUAUAUCUCUUCCUUCACGCCUUUGAUGUGUACAGCAAUAAUCACCACCACCUUAUUUAACACUCUCCCAACUUUCUUAGCCUCCAUAAAGAAUCUUUCUUUUUUCAAGAACACAAAAUGGACCGUAAUGGAAGAGAUGACAUCAAGGUCGAGAAUGGUUAUGAUUUGGAGGAUGAUCAUGAUCACAAAAAGAAGGACAGGAAAGAGGAACAACAAGAAGAGUUGUCAGUGGAAAGAAUAUUUGAGAACCAAGAAGUGCCAUCAUGGAGGAAUCAGCUGACACUGAGGGCCUUUGUGGUGAGCUUCGUGUUGAGCAUUUUGUUCAGCGUCAUAGUAAUGAAGCUCAAUCUUACAACUGGUAUCAUACCUUCCCUCAAUGUCUCUGCUGGCCUUCUGGGCUUCUUUUUUAUCAAGACCUGGACAAAGUUUCUUGAAAAGUCUGGCCUUUUGAAGCAACCCUUUACGAGGCAAGAGAACACAGUUAUCCAGACUUGUGUGGUUGCAUCCUCUGGCAUUGCCUUUAGUGGUAUACUUUCUGUACUUCUUACUGCCAUCAAUUUUCAUUUCAUCUCUCUUACUUUUUGGGUUGAGGAGAUAUGUAGGCUUCUUUGAUCAAGAUAUUAAAAUUUCUGUGCAUUAGGUUUUGUUUCUGUUCUUAAAGGUUUGAAACUUACAGUAGUUACUAAAACUCAAUGUCAAGAUUUGCUUCUUCUAAUUGCUAUAUUACAUGAUAAAGGCAACCCUUUUUCUCUCUCUGGAUCCCUUUUAUCUCAGUUGUGAGUAGAUUUACAUGAUCCUUGAAGACAAGAAUUAAUUCCUUACUGCCUAAAGUCUUCGGGAGGCAAAUCAAGAUUGAGGUUUUAUGACUAUCAGUUCUGCUAUUGCUUCAGCCACUUGUGAAGUUUUACUAAACUAAUCAACACUUGAACUUGCUGUUUGAGACAUGAACAAAUAUACUUUAGUAAAAAAGUUUAAUCAAAUGGUCUGUAAAUUUUCUUUACUAGCUUUUCCCUGUCUCAUGGUGUGUGAUAAUGGUGGAGGGGCUUUUUAUUUUUCUUAUGGUCCUCCACGAGGCAUUAGGUGUGGCUGGCAGAUGUCUCUAGACAGAUACUUUUUUGACAAUUCAAUUCAUAUGAGCUGGAUAUGGAUGAUUCGCUAACUUCAAAGUUAUACAAGUCUUAUAAGAAUAUUCUGAUUAGUGGAAAAGGAAGUCUUCCCCAUUAGGGAGAAAAGAAAAUAUGAAUAAUUAAUUUGUUUGUACUGUUAAUCUAGCUUUCAUCAUGUAAAAUUAAUUUGAAUACACUACAUCAUGUGAAAUUGUUGUAACGAUAGAAAUAAUUUGUGAUUAUGCUCAAGAUGAAAUUAAGCUUGUUGAUUUUUUGUAGUAAUAGUUUCCAUUCUAUAAUCUGUUUCUUGUUUCCUUACAAUAGGAGGCUUUGGGAGCUAUCUGUUUGGAAUGAGUGAAACCGUGGCCAUACAAUCAACAGAAUAUAGAGAUGUCUUUAAGAACCCAUCUCUGUCAUGGAUGAUUGGCUUUCUGUUUGUUGUUAGCUUUCUUGGACUCUUUUCAGUGGUGCCUCUUCGAAAGGUAGACUUCACAACAUUUGAUUAUCGCCAUUCAAUUUCGUAUAGGAAAUAGAAAACUUCUCUCUGCAUUUUGCUUUCUUGUUGAAUGUAUUGAUUUUGCCAAAAUCUAAUCUUCAUUGUUAUUUCCAGGUCAUGAUUGUAGACUUCAAAUUGACAUAUCCAAGUGGCACUGCAACUGCUUAUCUCAUCAACAGCUUCCACACUCCUGCAGGAGCCAAGCUAGCAAGGUAAGGCAUUAUCAGACCUCAUGCACAUAUAGUUGGAUGAUCAUUCGGCAUGUAAAAGUAUCAAACUUCUUCUUUUUUUACUACCGUUUCAGAAAACAAGUGAAAGCGUUGGGCAAGUUCUUAUCAUUCAGCUUCUUGUGGGGUUUCUUUCAGUGGUUCUACACUGCAGGAGAUGGUUGUGGAUUUGUUGAGUUCCCCUCACUCGGGCUUAAAGCAUAUGAAAACAAGUAAAAGCAUUACUCAAACUUCCAAAAUCCUCUCAUCCUAUUGAAUGUAGUUCAAUUUAUUAUGGCACUGUGUUUCAAAUUUGUUGCGGUAUCCUUGACUAAUAAUGUUAUUGUUAUAUGUACAGAUUUUUCUUUGAUUUCUCAGCAACAUAUGUUGGAGUUGGAAUGAUUUGCCCCUACAUCAUAAACAUAUCAGUUUUGCUUGGAGGAAUUCUUUCCUGGGGUCUCAUGUGGCCUCUCAUAGAUACAAAAAAGGGUGAUUGGUAUUCAGCAGACCUCAAAUCUAACAGCCUACAUGGCCUCCAAGGUUACAGGGUAAGUUUUCUAACAAGGUUAAGGUGACAAGAGUGCUAUUCUUGAAGCCUUUUCAUUCAUAACAACUCUUAUGCAAUGAACUCAGGUAUUUAUUGCCAUUGCCCUGAUCUUGGGUGACGGUCUGUACAACUUCUUCAAGGUGCUAAGCCGAACACUCACUGCCUUGUAUUUUCAACUUCAAAGGAAAGAUGCAACUGGUGCCCUCCCUAUUGCGGACCGUUCCUCUCCUGAGAACUCCAGGAUCUCAUACAAUGAUCAACGCCGCACCCAACUCUUUCUCAAAGAUCAAAUUCCAACAUGGUUUGCUGUUGCAGGCUAUGUCGCAAUUGCUGCUAUCUCUAUAGCCACGCUACCGCAUAUAUUUCCUGAACUCAAAUGGUAUUACAUAUUGGUUAUCUACAUCUUCGCCCCAGCCCUUGCAUUCUGUAAUGCUUAUGGCUGUGGCCUCACUGACUGGUCCCUCGCUUCCACCUAUGGAAAGCUUGCAAUUUUUGUAAUUGGAGCAUGGGCUGGUGCCUCUCAUGGUGGAGUUCUUGCAGGACUAGCGGCCUGUGGAGUCAUGAUGAAUAUCGUGUCCACAGCCUCCGACCUCUCUCAAGAUUUCAAGACUGGUUAUCUAACCCUUUCUUCACCACGGUCCAUGUUUGUUAGCCAACUAAUUGGCACUGCAAUGGGUUGCAUUAUUUCACCUUGUGUCUUUUGGCUGUUUUUCAAGGCCUUCAAGGAUCUUGGGAUUCCUGGAAGUCAAUACCCUGCUCCUAAUGCUACUGUAUUUCGAAACAUGGCUAUAUUGGGGGUAGACGGAUUCUCGUCUCUACCAAAGAAUUGCCUCUAUCUUUGCUAUGGGUUCUUCAGUGCAGCUAUUCUGAUAAAUUUAAUUAAGGAUGCAUUGGGUAAGAAAUGGGCUAGGUUCAUUCCCAAUCCAAUGGCGAUGGCUAUACCUUUCUAUAUUGGCUCAUACUUUGCCAUCGACAUGUGUGUGGGAAGCUUGAUGCUGUUUAUCUGGGAAAAGAUUGACAAGGCAAAGGCAGAUGCUUUUGGGCCAGCAGUGGCUUCUGGUUUGAUUUGCGGGGAUGGGAUAUGGACUUUGCCUAGUGCGAUACUUGCUCUAGUAGGAGUAAAACCUCCCAUUUGCAUGAAGUUUUUGUCAAGGAGAACAAAUGCUAAGGUCGAUGCGUUCUUAGGGUCAUAAAGUCGAAGUUGAGAUCAACUUGAAUAGAAACUGUUAAGUAAAGCUGAAUUGCUUCCUAGACUAAGGUUAUGAAGUUUACAU
rnacentral:lncRNA from 1 species